UACGAAGGGGGCUAGCGUUGUUCGGAAUUACUGGGCGUAAAGCGCACGUAGGCGGUUUGUCGCGUCUGCUGUGAAAACCCGAGGCUCAACCUCGGGCCUGCAGUGGGUACGGGCAGACUAGAGUGCGGUAGGGGAGAUUGGAAUUCCUGGUGUAGCGGUGGAAUGCGCAGAUAUCAGGAGGAACACCAAUGGCGAAGGCAGAUCUCUGGGCCGUAACUGACGCUGAGGAGCGAAAGCAUGGGGAGCGAACAGG
rnacentral:rRNA from 1 species